ACUGGGCGUAAAGAGCUCGUAGGCGGUUUGUCACGUCGUCUGUGAAAUCCCUCGGCUUAACCGGGGGCGUGCAGGCGAUACGGGCAGACUUGAGUACUACAGGGGAGACUGGAAUUCCUGGUGUAGCGGUGAAAUGCGCAGAUAUCAGGAGGAACACCGGUGGCGAAGGCGGGUCUCUGGGUAGUAACUGACGCUGAGGAGCGAAAGCAUGGGUAGCGAACAGGAUUAGAUACCCUGGUAGUCCAUGCCGUAAACGGUGGGCGCUAGGUGUGGGGUCCUUCCACGGACUCCGUGCCGUAGCUAACGCAUUAAGCGCCCCGCCUGGGGAGUA
rnacentral:rRNA from 1 species